AGUCCAUGGUUUGGGAAAUUCUUGACCAAGCCCUUAAAAUGCUCCCAUGCGGCACAUAAGGUCUCAUCAUCUUCUUAUCAAAGUUCAUAAUCUCUCGACGCCU